rnacentral:rRNA from 1 species
AAUCCAUAGGUUAAUGAGGCGAACCGGGGGAACUGAAACAUCUAAGUACCCCGAGGAAAAGAAAUCAACCGAGAUUCCCCCAGUAGCGGCGAGCGAACGGGGAGGAGCCCAGAGCCUGAAUCAGCAUGUGUGUUAGUGGAAGCGUCUGGAAAGGCGCGCGAUACAGGGUGACAGCCCCGUACACAAAAGCGCAUGUGCUGUGAGCUCGAUGAGUAGGGCGGGACACGUGGUAUCCUGUCUGAAUAUGGGGGGACCAUCCUCCAAGGCUAAAUACUCCUGACUGACCGAUAGUGAACCAGUACCGUGAGGGAAAGGCGAAAAGAACCCCGGCGAGGGGAGUGAAAAAGAACCUGAAACCGUGUACGUACAAGCAGUGGGAGCACAGGUUUACCUGUGUGACUGCGUACCUUUUGUAUAAUGGGUCAGCGACUUAUAUUCUGUAGCAAGGUUAACCGUAUAGGGGAGCCGUAGGGAAACCGAGUCUUAAUUGGGCGUUAAGUUGCAGGGUAUAGACCCGAAACCCGGUGAUCUAGCCAUGGGCAGGUUGAAGGUUGGGUAACACUAACUGGAGGACCGAACCGACUAAUGUUGAAAAAUUAGCGGAUGACCUGUGGCUGGGGGUGAAAGGCCAAUCAAACCGGGAGAUAGCUGGUUCUCCCCGAAAGCUAUUUAGGUAGCGCCUCGUGAAUUCAUCUCCGGGGGUAGAGCACUGUUUCGGCUAGGGGGCCAUCCCGGCUUACCAACCCGAUGCAAACUGCGAAUACCGGAGAAUGUUAUCACGGGAGACACACGGCGGGUGCUAACGUCCGUCGUGAAGAGGGAAACAACCCAGACCGCCAGCUAAGGUCCCAAAGUCAUGGUUAAGUGGGAAACGAUGUGGGAAGGCCCAGACAGCCAGGAUGUUGGCUUAGAAGCAGCCAUCAUUUAAAGAAAGCGUAAUAGCUCACUGGUCGAGUCGGCCUGCGCGGAAGAUGUAACGGGGCUAAACCAU